rnacentral:rRNA from 1 species
CGGACGGGUGAGUAAUGUCUGGGGAAACUGCCUGAUGGAGGGGGAUAACUACUGGAAACGGUAGCUAAUACCGCAUAAUGUCGCAAGACCAAAGAGGGGGACCUUCGGGCCUCUUGCCAUCGGAUGUGCCCAGAUGGGAUUAGCUAGUAGGUGGGGUAACGGCUCACCUAGGCGACGAUCCCUAGCUGGUCUGAGAGGAUGACCAGCCACACUGGAACUGAGACACGGUCCAG